AUACCUUUCUCGGCCUUUUGGCUAAGAUCAAGUGUAAUAUCUGUUCUUAUCAGUUUAAUAUCUGAUAUGUGGGAGUAAGCCCACUAAGAUAGCUUGCUAUCUGAGUUUUCGCGAGUCGCCCAUGCGUUGCACUAUUGCAUGGGUCUGGCUCAGCCCAC
rnacentral:snRNA from 1 species